GCAUCAACUGAUGCAGCCUAUUCUGCAAUUUAUCCCCAAAAUGUUAUAUAGUAAUUCUUAAAGUUCAUUGAUAUUAAAAAUAGACAUGGGAAACCGGAAAUCCACCGUUUGUUUCUAGUACGUAAAAAUUAAGCAGCAUGCUAGAGGAACAGGAGGUGAAGGUCCUGCAAUUAAUCGCCUCAGCAUUGAUGAAAAAUUGAUCAUCAUGAUUGGUGCAAUAUGCACAGAAGGCAAUCCUGAAAUUAAAGAAAUUGGAUUUCAAUUUAUGAAUCAACAGGAGCAAGCCCAAAUACUCCCAUAACUGGUUCUAUUCCAUGCCAAGUGAUUCUAAACUGCCAGAAUCGAAACAGGCGACGAAGAGAAUUCCCUAUCGAAAGGGCUGCUAGGAAUUUUUCCGAAUUUCAAAAGAUGCAGGCAGGAGCCACGUCAGAAUUAACAGAGGCAAUGCAAGUUCAGACAAAGACCAUUAUAAAUACGACUCCUCUAUUAAAACAAAUUGCAGGAAAUUUGGCUUAA